AUGAAGCAUCCCCAGUGUCUCUUGCAUGCAUGGAGAGGGAUCAGGAGGGUCUGCUGUGAAAGGGCAGCUCCUCAUUCAGCUGAGGAGUUCGUGUGGCCAGAAGGAGAUACCUGAACAGGUUGAGAGGUGAUGAAAAAAACAAACUCCUGGUGCAGAAUGGGCUACCAGAGCCUACAGAAAGACAGAAACAGGGUGGAAGAGCAGCCCUGUCUGCAGCAGGCUGGUGUGGCAGUGGAGGCUCUCCCAGAGGAGAAGGAAAGCAGAGGGAGUUCUGCAGAAGCUGCUCCCAACUUCUGUGUCCACCACACCCCUGGCAUGCACGGAGCCAGGGAAGGAUCUCCUCCUCAUCCACCACUGGGGUGGUGUAAGCAGGCAGACAAAUGUUCAUGUUUGAGAGCAGGGAGUUAAUCACAUCUGCCAAAUCCAUCUUGGUAAACAAGCUUAAGCUUUACCUGGAAUGAUAAAUGCUCAUUUUUCCAUUUGGAAACGCUGCUGUUUUCUUUCAUUUACACUUUCUGUGUCCUUUGAACACUUUUGGGGUUAUUGUUGGUUUCUGGCCAGGCACCGAGAGAGAACAAUGAAAAUUUGUGCAAAAGCUUUUUCUUCUGAAUGCUGGAGGUGUGAGCUGCAUCCCUCUGAGCCACCUAUGUCCACUCUGACAUCAGGGAGAUGGAUGCUCAGGGAUCCCUCAGAGCCCUCCCCGUGGCCACAGCUUUUCCUCAUCAGCUUCAUCCUGAAACUGAGCCCUGGUCCGAGUACUUCUGCCACAAAACACUGUGGGGAGAGAUGCACUGGCUGUGAGGGAGAAAGAAGCUCCAAUCCAUGAAUCUUUAGGGAAAGUUUCACUGCAGCAGAAGGUGUGGCAAGUUAGGAACCCGCUCAGGGCUGAGAAGGUCACCUCAGGGGAUGGGAAGAAACCCCACGCUGCUCUCUCACACCAGGCUCUGCUCUCCCAGCACAUUUAACCCCAGAUCUCCAGCUGGGAUGAGAGGCUGGGUUUCAUGUUAACAGGCUUUAAUUGUGUGGGGAAUCUGCUGCUUCCCCAGGUGU